rnacentral:rRNA from 1 species
GACGAACGCUGGCGGCGUGCUUAACACAUGCAAGUCGAACGGAAAGGCCCUGCUUGCGGGGUCCUCGAGGGGCGAACGGGUAGGUAACCCGUGGGGGAUCUGCCCGGACCUUCGGGUUAGGCCUGGGAAAUUGGGUUUAUUACCGGAUAGGGGCCAUUUUUGGUGGGAUGGUUGGAAGGUUUUUUCGGUGUAGGAUGAGCUCGCGGCCUAUCAGCUUGUUGGUGGGGUAAUGGCCUACCAAGGCGGCGACGGGUAGCCGGCCUGAGAGGGUGGACGGCCACAUUGGGACUGAGAUACGGCCCAGACUCCUACGGGAGGCAGCAGUGGGGAAUAUUGCACAAUGGGCGCAAGCCUGAUGCAGCGACGCCGCGUGGGGGAUGACGGCCUUCGGGUUGUAAACUCCUUUCGCUAGGGACGAAGCUUUUGUGACGGUACCUAGAUAAGAAGCACCGGCUAACUACGUG